UAACAUUGGUAGAUUGAAUUGGCCAUUCCUUCCUUUUAGAGGAUCUAAACUAGAUGUACUAUCACAUGUGCAUGCUUUUAGGUUAACCCCAUGGAUAAAAAAUUCUGCCACCAGAUUUGAAAAUGCAGAAGAACUAUUCUUCAAUAACUGGUUAGGAGCAUCAAACUCGAGAAUGUUUCCUACAUCAAACAAGACAAAUUUUAUCAGGCAAUACAAUUUGUUUCAAACAAUAUUAUGUGUGUAUUCUCAGAUGUUAUAUGUCCUCAUCAUUUUGAAAAUUUAAAUUUCUUCGUUUUGUUAGGAUUUAUCUCUGUAUAAUUGAAAGUAAC
rnacentral:lncRNA from 1 species